CAUAUAGAGAGAGAGUUGCGACAACUCCAUAGACUCCAAUGGAACGGUUUUUUACAGCAAUGGCGGCUCGUGGAGCCUCUCAAUAGUUCCCGGAAGUAGCAGCCGCGCCGUAGAGUUACAGCAGAACAGACCGUUUGUGAUGCACUUUUAAAAGCACAAAGGGGAUUCAGAUCCUGAAGACUCCAUGCAAUGAUGCUGUCACCGCCAGUCUCUGCUCCUUGGAUUUUGCAAGCUUUUCCUUGCUCCUUAUUUUUAAUAAACCUUUAAUAAACAUAAAA